rnacentral:rRNA from 1 species
UACAGAGGUCCCAAGCGUUGUUCGGAUUCAUUGGGCGUAAAGGGUGCGUAGGUGGCGCCGUAAGUCGGGUGUGAAAUUUCGGAGCUUAACUCCGAAACUGCAUUCGAUACUGCGGUGCUUGAGGACUGGAGAGGAGACUGGAAUUCAUGGUGUAGCAGUGAAAUGCGUAGAGAUCAUGAGGAACACCGGUGGCGAAGGCGGGUCUCUGGGCCGAAACUGACGCUGAGGAGCGAAAGCGUGGGGAGCAAACAGG